GGAGGACAGUAAUCAAUCCAUUUGAGAUCAGUGCAUGGAUCACCUUCUUUACGGACAGACGAGUCUCGAGUCAGCAGUGUGCGGAUACUGGGAUAAGAGUAUAGAUGGUUGUUAGAGAACAACUUAUACCGAGUGUGACCAACAUGAAAAAUUACUUAGAUGUCAACUCACUCGUCAGUGAUCUUCUCGAUACUACAGUGGUGUGAGUGAUCCUUUGACCUACGGUGCAUCGCUAUUUAUAGUGAAGCUAUUGAGUUUG
rnacentral:lncRNA from 1 species